rnacentral:tRNA from 1 species
UGUUCGAUGGUCUAAUGGUAAAGCUUUCGCUGCGAAACCACUAGAUCCUAGGUUAGAUCCCUGGUCGAGCAG